UCUUUUCCUCUUUGUGUCAUUUUGUGAUGCAGCCAAACAAGGUCAUAUUUUUUAGGUGUCAAUUCUUCAUAAAUAAACUAGGUUCUAUCAAUCUAGAAAAAAAAAAUACUUGUUGAUAUAAUCUCCUUCUAGAAAUCUAGAGAAUUAAACCCCACUCCUCUAUUUUAUCUACCUCCUUCUAAUUCAAUCUAUCUCCUCUAAUUUUCUUGGUCCUAAAGUUGCUGCCGAAUUAUUUGCUCAAAAUCGACAGCAUGCAGUUGGUUUUUGGAAAUAUAUGCUAAAUAAAAGUUGUAGAUCUCUUCAAGAUAUUCAAUUUAGGCUAAAAAACCACUCAAUUCCGACUUGUGUACUAUGAGUUAUGCGUGUUGCAAGUUUGGUGUUACUACCUUCAUUUCUCUCUCCUCUGUUUUCGUCAAUCUCUUUCUGCGAAUUUCUCCAACAUGCAAUCCUAAUUUGCUCCUUGUUUCUACAUUAAAGUUGUAGAUCUCUUUGAGUUAUUGAAUUUAGCCACAAAAAUCGUCCAAUUUGGAGUUCAGAGCUGUGAGUUAUGGCCUUUGCAAGUUUGGUCUUGCUGCUGUCAUUUUCCUUCGAGAUUUUGUGAUUUUUGCUGCAGUUUCGUGGUUGUUGCUGCUGUUAUUGUGUUGAUGUUAGUGCUCCUACUUCAUUUAUUCUACUCUUUAGUGUAUUAAUGAACGUAUAAAGUUAAAAUCUUACUUCAUAUUUCUUCAAAAUGUUAAGAACAAAUUCAAAUGUAUUAUUGUUGGAUUGAAUUAGCAAAAUCAGCUCUAAACCUUUGUUUUCUUGGUUUUGAUGGCAAAAAUCAACAUGUGGUUGUAUGUUAGAGCUAAAGAUUGAAUCUUUCUUUUUUUUAAUCCAUGGAUUGAAGUUGUUUUGGAAUUUGUAAAUCCUAGUUUAUAAUCAUCUUCAUUUUCCUAUAUUAACUUUAGUAAAUCAGAUUUUAUACAUUAUAUUUCUAUGAAAUUCUAGACCAUGAUUUCGUAUUGCCGAUUAGUGUCAAAAUUUUCAGAGAUUCCGUUAAUGAAAUUGGGUUUAUAAGAUUCUUGUUGAUUAGUGAAAAAUGUGAGCAGAGUAGUGAGAUAGUUUGUGCAUAAGGGUUGUAUUAGUUCAUAAAGUAGUUUAGAAAGUAUGGCAAGUCAAUUUGUUUAUGAGAAUUGAGUAAUAAGAACGAAUGUUAAUUAUUGUUAUUAUUGUUGUGAGGUGAUUAUUGGAUAUUGAUCAUGAAUUUGGAGAUGUUGGACUCUUGAAGAUUUUUAUGGAAUUGAGCGUUAUUUGGAGAAUGAAAGAGCGUUCCAUGCUAAUAAAUUUUUCAGGGAAUGUGGAAUCCAACUCCGGUGUGGUUUAAGGAUCAUGGUAUAAUAAAGGAUGCUUUUCGGAUGAGAUAUGGUUGAGAUUAUAUGGUUUUAUAGGAAAGAAAUGUCAUGGUGUUUUAAUGUAUUAUAUCGGAGAUUUGAUUGAUCAAUUCAUGUAAUUGUAUUUCUAUUUUGUGAUAUUGUUGUGGGCCAUAACCCACAGGUCCAGGAUCUUUUUAUAGAUUAUAUUUCCGCUGCGAGUGAAUGUAAGCUCGAGGUUAUUAAGUGUUAAUUGAGAUUUAUAAAUGUUAAGUGUAAUUAGCUAGCAGCUCGGAAGUUCGGGCUGUUACAGAUGGUAUCAGAGCAUGGUUGUUUUAGAAUUGUCGUGAUCUUCAUAUCAUGGCAUAUGAGUUUAAGAAAGAUAUUGGAGAUUGGGUGAAAAUGAUUUGGGUUAUUAGUUAGUUGAAAAUUAAGAAAUUGGAAUUAAGAAAUUGAAGGUUGAGUGUUGUAAAAUUUGAAAAAAAAAUGAAAAGUUCUAUCGGGGUUUUAGAUUUGAGUGACUAUUGGAGGAAGAACGAAUUAUAUCGAUUGAGAUUGUGUAAAGUUUGUAGUUGGAGUUUGUGAUUAUUGGGUUUGAAAACAAUUAAUUUUUGAGAUGUUAGAAUUUGGAUAUGAGUUCGUUUUGGUUUGAUAUUUUGUGGAAAUAUUUUCAGAAUUGUACUCGUUUUGGAAAGAUCUAAACUUUUACGUUUUCAAAUUUCGAGGACAAAAUUUCUUUUAAGGGUGGUAGAUUAUAAUAGCCCAUAUUUUGAUCAUGUUUUAGUUAACGUUAAUUAUGUUUAUUAGUUAUUAAGUUUUAAUAUUAAUGGGAAUCUACUUGAUAAUUAUUAUUUUAAAUUCUAUUAUCUCAUUGUGGGUUUUAGGAAAAUGAGGGUAUUUGAGUUUAGUUUUUUGAAAAGAAAAUAAAUUAUUAUAUUUUAAUGAGAUCUUCAUUCUCUCUAUUCAUGGCUGUUCAAGAGAAGCUUUUUACUUCUUUUCCUCUUUGUGUCAUUUUGUGAUGCAGCCAAUCAAGGUCAUAUUUUUUAUGUGCCACUUCUUCAUAAAUCAACUAGGUUCUAUCAAUCUAGAAAAAAAAUACUUGUUGAUAUAAUCUCCUUUUCUAGAAAUCUAGAGAAUUAAACCCCACUCCUCUAUUUUAUCCACCUCCUUCUAAUUCAAUCUCUCUCCUCUAAUUUUCUUGGUCCUAAAGUUGCUGCCGAAUUAUUUGCUCAAAAUCGACAGCAUGCAGUUGGUUUUUGGAAAUAUAUGCUAAAUGAAAGUUGUAGAUCUCUUCAAGAUAUUCAAUUUAGGCUCAAAAAUCACUCCAUUCCGACUUGUGUACUAUGAGUUAUGCCUGUUGCAAGUUUGGUAUUGCUACCUUCAUUUCUCUCUCUUCUGUUUUCGUCAAUCUGUUUCUGCGAAUUUCUCCAACAUGCAAUCCAAAUUUGCUCCUUGUUUCUGCAUAAAAAUUAUAGAUCUCUUUGAGUUAUUGAAUUUAGCCACAAAAAUCGUCCAAUUUGGAGUUCGGAGCUGUGAGUUAUGGCCUUUGCAAGUUUGGUCUUGCUGCUGUCAUUUUCCUUCGAGAUUUUGCGAUUUUUGCUGCAGUUUUGUGGUUGUUGCUGCUGUUAUUGUGUUGAUGUUGGUGCUCCUACUUCAUUUCUUCUACUCUUUAGUGUAUUAAUGAAGGUAUAAAGUUAAAAUCUUACUUCAUUUUUAUUCAAAAUAUUAAGAACAAAUUCAAAUGUAUUAUUGUUGGAUUGAAUUAGCAAAUUCAGCUCUAAACCAUGGUUUUUUUGGUUUUGAUGGCAAAAAUCAACAUGUGGUUGUAUAUUAGAGCUAAAGAUUGAAUCUUUCUUUUUUUUAAUCCAUGGAUUGAAGUUAUUUUCGAAUUUGUAAAUCCUAGUUUAUAAUCAUCUUCAUUUUCCUAUAUUAACUUUAGUAAAUCAGAUUUUAUACAUUAUAUUUCUAUGAAAUUCUAAACCAUGAUUUCGUAUUGCCGAUUAGUGUCAAAAUUUUCAGAGAUUCCGUUAAUUAAAUUGGGUUUAUAAGAUUCUUGUUGAUUAGUGAAAAAUGUGAGUAGACUAGUGAGAUGGUUUGUGCAUAAGGGUUGUAUUAGUUCAUAAAGGAGUUUAGAAAGUAUGGCAAGUCAAUUUGUUUAUGAGAAUUGAGUAAUAAGAACGAAUGUUAAUUAUUUUUAUUAUUGUUGUGAGGUGAUUAUUGGAGAUUGAUCAUGAAUUUGGAGAUGUUGGACACUUGUAGAUUUUUAUGGAAUUGAGCGUUAUUUGGAGAAUGAAAGAGCGUUCAAUUCAAAUAAAUUUUUCAGGGAAUGUGGAAUUCAGCUCCGGUGUGGUUUAAGGAUCAUGGUAUAAUAAAAGAUGCUUUUCGGAUGAGCUAUGGUGGAGAUUAUAUGGUUUUAUAGGAAAGAAAUGUCAUGGUGUUUUAAUGUAUUAUAUCGGAGAUUUGAUUGAUCAAUUCAUGUAAUUGUUUUUCUAUUUUGUGAUAUUGUUGUGGGCCCAUAACCCACAGGUUCAGGAUCGUUUUAUAGAUUAUAUUUCCGUUGCGA